GUGCUCGCUUGGGCAGCACAUGUACUAGGGUUGGAGCGAUACAGAGAAGAUUAGCAUGGCGCCUGUGCAAGGAUGACAUGCAGGUUCGUGAAGCGUUCCAUUUUUUA
rnacentral:snRNA from 1 species